ensembl:snRNA U2 U2 spliceosomal RNA
AUCAUUUCUCAGCCUUUUGGCUAAGAUCAAGUGUGGUAUCAGUUCUUAUUAGUUUAAAAAAUUAUUUUUACUUAUGGCUUAUAUCAUAAUCUUAGGCACCCAGCUAAUGAUGAAACACACAGUCAUAACAUCCUCUGCUGUAACACUCUGUGCAUUUUUC